rnacentral:rRNA from 1 species
AUUGAACGCUGGCGGCAUGCCUUACACAUGCAAGUCGAACGGUAACGCGGGGCAACCUGGCGACGAGUGGCGAACGGGUGAGUAAUGCAUCGGAACGUACCCAGUAGUGGGGGAUAGCCCGGCGAAAGCCAGAUUAAUACCGCAUACGACCUAAGGGUGAAAGCGGGGGACCGUAAGGCCUCGCGCUAUUGGAGCGGCCGAUGUCAGAUUAGGUAGUUGGUGGGGUAAAGGCCUACCAAGCCUUCGAUCUGUAGCUGGUCUGAGAGGACGACCAGCCACACUGGGACUGAGACACGGCCCAGACUCCUACGGGAGGCAGCAGUGGGGAAUUUUGGACAAUGGGCGCAAGCCUGAUCCAGCCAUGCCGCGUGCGGGAAGAAGGCCU